UACGUAGGGUGCGAGCGUUUGUCCGGAAUUACUGGGCGUAAAGAGCUCGUAGGUGGUUUGUCGCGUUGUUCGUGAAAACUCACAACUCAAUUGUGGGCGUGCGGGCGAUACGGGCAGACUGGAGUACUGCAGGGGAGACUGGAAUUCCUGGUGUAGCGGUGGAAUGCGCAGAUAUCAGGAGGAACACCGGUGGCGAAGGCGGGUCUCUGGGCCGAAACUGACGCUGAGGAGCGAAAGCGUGGGGAGCAAACAGG
rnacentral:rRNA from 1 species